rnacentral:rRNA from 1 species
UUCAACUCAGUGGCGGACGGGUGAGUAACGCGUGAGUAACCUGCCUUUCAGAGGGGGAUAACGUUCUGAAAAGAACGCUAAUACCGCAUAAGAUUGUAGUUUCGCAUGGAGCAGCAAUCAAAGGAGCAAUCCGCUGAAAGAUGGACUCGCGUCCGAUUAGAUAGUUGGCGGGGUAACGGCCCACCAAGUCGACGAUCGGUAGCCGGACUGAGAGGUUGAUCGGCCACAUUGGGACUGAGACACGGCCCAGACUCCUACGGGAGGCAGCAGUGAGGGAUAUUGGGCAAUGGGGGAAACCCUGACCCAGCAACGCCGCGUGAGGGAUGACGGUUUUCGGAUUGUAAACCUCUGUCCUCUGUGAAGAUAGUGACGGUAGCAGAGGAGGAAGCUCCGGCUAACUACGUGCCAGCAGCCGCGGUAAUACGUAGGGAGCAAGCGUUGUCCGGAUUUACUGGGUGUAAAGGGUGCGUAGGCGGAUUGGCAAGUCAGAAGUGAAAUCCAUGGGCUUAACCCAUGAACUGCUUUUGAAACUGUUAGUCUUGAGUGAAGUAGAGGUAGGCGGAAUUCCCGGUGUAGCGGUGAAAUGCGUAGAGAUCGGGAGGAACACCAGUGGCGAAGGCGG